rnacentral:tRNA from 1 species
GGGCCGGUAGCUCAGUCGGUUAGAGCAGCGGACUCAUAAUCCGUCGGUCGCGGGUUCGAGCCCCGCCCGGCCUACCA